GACGAACGCUGGCGGCGUGCUUAACACAUGCAAGUCGAACGGAAAGGCCCUGCUUUUGUGGGGUGCUCGAGUGGCGAACGGGUGAGUAACACGUGAGUAACCUGCCCUUGACUUUGGGAUAACUUCAGGAAACUGGGGCUAAUACCGGAUAGGAGCUCCUGCUGCAUGGUGGGGGUUGGAAAGUUUCGGCGGUUGGGGAUGGACUCGCGGCUUAUCAGCUUGUUGGUGGGGUAGUGGCUUACCAAGGCUUUGACGGGUAGCCGGCCUGAGAGGGUGACCGGCCACAUGGGGAAUGGGAAAGGACCCAGACUCCUAGGGGGGGCAGCGGUGGGAAAUAUUGAAGAAGGGGGGAGGGCCUGAUGCAGCAACGCCGCGUGGGGGGUGGCGGCCUUCGGGUUGAAACCCGUUUUCGCCUGUGACGGAGCGGGAGGGAGGGUAUGGGUAAAAAAGGCACGGGCUAACUACGUC
rnacentral:rRNA from 1 species